AGCAGCCGCGGUAAUUCCAGCUCCAAUAGCGUAUAUUAAAGUUGUUGCAGUUAAAAAGCUCGUAGUUGAACCUCGGGGUCUACCCAUUGGUCAGGCUUAAUUGUCUGCACUGGUGGGAUGGAUCUCUACCUUCUGAGGAACUUUCAUGCCAUUUAUUUGGUGUGAUGGGAAAUCAGGACUGUUACUUUGAAAAAUUAGAGUGUUUAAAGCAGACUAUCGUCUGAAUACAUUAGCAUGGAAUAAUGAAAUAGGACGGACUGAUUCUAUUUCGUUGGUUUCUAGGAUCACCGUAAUGAUUAAUAGGGAUAGUUGGGGGCAUUAGUAUUCAAUUGUCAGAGGUGAAAUUCUUGGAUUUAUUGAAGACUAACUACUGCGAAAGCAUUUGCCAAGGAUGUUUUCAUUAAUCAAGAACGAAAGUUAGGGGAUCGAAGACGAUCAGAUACCGUCGUA
rnacentral:rRNA from 1 species